AACGAACGCUGGCGGCAGGCUUAACACAUGCAAGUCGAACGCUGUAGCAAUACAGAGUGGCAGACGGGUGAGUAACGCGUGGGAACGUGCCUUUCGGUUCGGAAUAACUCAGGGAAACUUGAGCUAAUACCGGAUACGCCCUUCGGGGGAAAGAUUUAUUGCCGAAAGAUCGGCCCGCGUCCGAUUAGCUAGUUGGUGAGGUAAUGGCUCACCAAGGCGACGAUCGGUAGCUGGUCUGAGAGGAUGAUCAGCCACACUGGGACUGAGACACGGCCCAGACUCCUACGGGAGGCAGCAGUGGGGAAUAUUGGACAAUGGGCGCAAGCCUGAUCCAGCCAUGCCGCGUGAGUGAUGAAGGCCCUAGGGUUGUAAAGCUCUUUCGCCAGGGACGAUAAUGACGGUACCUGGAUAAGAAGCCCCGGCUAACUUCGUGCCAGCCGCCGCGGUAA
rnacentral:rRNA from 1 species